CCCCCGAGCUUCAGGAGGGUUACUUGUUCCUACUAGUGUCCCGGAGCCUCCGCCAGUCACCUGAGAUUGGCUGUUGUUGCCACACCACACCACCACUGACACGCUCUCACGUGGAGAACAUAUAGAUCUUAUUUUAAACAGAGUAACACGUAAAUGACCUUGAUGCGUGUUUGAGGCACGCAGACGCGUCAGGCGUGGCACUGGCGGCAGUGAUGGUGUUUUUAUGGUGAUCCAUACCUCCACCACCAUCCACUCACCAGGAGGACAGUAAAACCAGUAACAAAAGCAUUGGUGACCACAGCGACAUCAAACAACUCACCACUCCUUGCAUCUAAAAAUACGUGCACGCUAAACCCACAAAGGUUGGAGGCUGAUGAUCGCUUAAUUACGUCGGUGAACAAACAUGGUGGCCGUUCGGCAGCGGCCGCUAAUAAAUCGGCGGUCGUUGUGUGGCACGAAUAUUUAUCGUUCAGAGUCUCUUGCGGUCUGCGUCAACAGAUUUCAUGAAUGAAAGACUAAUGUGACGGGUAUGAUUAAUGAUCGAGUGACCGUCGUGGCCGUGGGAAAGGGGAGGCAGAGAUAAGGUUAAGGUGGCGGGCCUCCUCUCCGGAAAAUAGUGCUAUGGAAAACUUUAGUGGUCAGAGUAUCUCUGUCUCCCCAAGCGAUCACCAUGGUUAUGCCCGCUCUGGCCAUGGCCCUGCACAGGGAGGGAGUCGCCGGUACGCUCGCUCGCUCGCUCGCUCUCUCUUUCUCCCUCUCUCCACGUGUAGUAACACCUCCCUCCUUUCCCAACCACUCCUGCCUUCGCUGUACCCUCACGUGCUGCUAUUGCUGAAGCGUCUGUCACUCGUUCAAGAAUGUGGCGCAUGUAUACGCACAAAAAGGAACUAAAAAUGAAGAGUACGCUUUUGAGGAAAUAGUAGUGCAAAAUGUUCCAAAUAGGCAACUCUGCAUGGGUUGCUGGUUGCAACUUGGUAACUCGGCGCUCGGGAGUUUAGUGCUGAGAUGACUCUAUAAGAGGGGACUGCUACGGUCUCUCGCCACACUCCGCCUCCUGUAGCAGUCAUGGGAGUGACUUAGAGGAACCAGGAACGCGCACUGGCUCAUUCACUGGCACUACUGAAAAGAGUUACGCGCUGUGUUGUGGAGUGUUGUGCUGCGCCGAGGACGCUCGCCCGCCCUGAGCGAUGCCUCGGAAAUCUGCAUGUUUUACACCUGACCAGAGAGCAGAACCAUCAGUGUUGCGAGUGCAGAAGACGACCUCAGUGAAGCGCUGUGCGAUGAAUAUUACCUACCGGUGCAGUCUAGCUCCAAGUUUAUAAUUACCUGAAAUUUCCCGCUCAAGACAACCAACCACCUACCUGAGACCUCAGGUUACCCAUCACUGGACGCCGAUCCCAACUCACGCUACUCCCGCCCGUACAAAUUGUUCCAGUGGGACGGUCCGGUGUCGACGCGCUGCCAUACCACACCGACGGGAACCUCAGCCAAGCAUUAACCGGGCGUCGGUCAGCUUCCUACAGCGUCGCGCCCUUGAUUCCAUCCCUCCUGAUCGAGUGUAUUACAAAGGGCAUUUAAGGAAGGGAAUGUUCCCAGCCAACCGUUCAAGCUUCUAGAGUGUACAAAUCUCAGCAACGACACCAACUAACCCCGCAUUACAGCCUCCCCUUCCUCCCCGAACAAGACGUGCUGAGACGACCACGGGCCCUUCGUGUAUCCACCAGCAGUAGCGGGGCGCCAACUUCCACCCAGCUGUCAAGUUUUAAUACUCAGUAGCCUAGAAGACGACCGACCCGUCACAUCCUACACGUAACUCGCCUCACUCGGAAGGAACUUAGCCAAGCUGCCAAUCAUUCUGUCUCACAACGGGGAGGAAAAGAAAAUUCUUGAACCUCUGUAGCAAGUAUGUACAUCCUAGUGAAGUCAUUUUCUCAGUGAGUGUCGUGAGAGAGACAUUGAAAAGUUUUCUCUAAAUAAGCCAGCAGUGUUGUAUGUGUUGCGUUUGAACCAUGUGGAUCCCAUUGGUCCUACGGUGGUGGCUGUUGGGCGCGGCCGCUGCCCUCAGUAUCUGCCUCACCUCGCCUGCCCUCGCCAACUUUCUCCAGGGUAAGUACUCACUGCCCUCACGUUUCCCAGGUACUG